AAGUCGUAACAAGGUUUCCGUAGGUGAACCUGCGGAAGGAUCAUUAACCUUUCAAAUCAGGGUGCGGCGCGGCCCCCGAGGAGCGGAAACAAUCCUUGGGAGGUAUGCGGGGGCUUCGAGCCCCCCAUUUACGCAAGCACGACUGCCAUCCUUACUUUACGAGCACCUUCUGUUCUCCCUCGGCGGGGCAACCUGCCGUUGGAACCGAAUAAACUCUUUUUGCAUCUAGCAUUACCUGUUCCGAAACAAACAAUCGUUACAACUUUCAACAAUGGAUCUCUUGGCUCUG
rnacentral:misc_RNA from 1 species